rnacentral:rRNA from 1 species
UACGGGGGGGGCAAGGCGUUGUUCGGAAUCAUUGGGCGUAAAGGGCGCGUAGGCGGCGCGGUUGGUCAGGCGUGAAAUCCCCGGGCUCAACCCAGGGACGUGCGCUUGAUACGGCCGUGCUGGAGGAUGGAAGAGGGCCGGCGGAAUUCCCAGUGUAGAGGUGAAAUUCGUAGAUAUUGGGAAGAACACCGGUGGCGAAGGCGGCGGCCUGGUCCAUUUCUGGACGCUGAGGCGCGAAAGCUAGGGGAGCAAACGGG